rnacentral:rRNA from 1 species
GCGGGUCUGAGAGGAUGAUCCGCCACACUGGGACUGAGACACGGCCCAGACUCCUACGGGAGGCAGCAGUGGGGAAUAUUGGACAAUGGGGGGAACCCUGAUCCAGCCAUGCCGCGUGUGUGAAGAAGGCCUUAUGGUUGUAAAGCACUUUAAGCGAGGAGGAGGCUACUCUAGUUAAUACCUAGAGAUAGUGGACGUUACUCGCAGAAUAAGCACCGGCUAACUCUGUGCCAGCAGCCGCGGUAAUACAGAGGGUGCGAGCGUUAAUCGGAUUUACUGGGCGUAAAGCGUGCGUAGGCGGCUUAUUAAGUCGGAUGUGAAAUCCCCGAGCUUAACUUGGGAAUUGCAUUCGAUACUGGUGAGCUAGAGUAUGGGAGAGGAUGGUAGAAUUCCAGGUGUAGCGGUGAAAUGCGUAGAGAUCUGGAGGAAUACCGAUGGCGAAGGCAGCCAUCUGGCCUAAUACUGACGCUGAGGUACGAAAGCAUGGGGAGCAAACAGGAUUAGAUACCCUGGUAGUCCAUGCCGUAAACGAUGUCUACUAGCCGUUGGGGCCUUUGAGGCUUUAGUGGCGCA